rnacentral:sRNA from 1 species
CCAAGCGGCCCCUGACAAUAUGAGUUGUAACCAAUAGAGCCAUCUCCAACCUUUCGCAUCGGACAAAAAGCCGCCGAUAAGCGGCCCUGCAGCAGGGCCGAUGAAUGGCGCGGCACUGAAAGUUGCCAUGGGAACACCUCGCUCUUCGUUUCGCCACAUGUCUGCCAAGGUACCUCCAACCAGUGUCAUGGGUGCGCUGAAUGCCACACCGGCAAUGGCGCGGCAAACAACGAGGGUUGCAAAGUUCUGGGCUACCGCACAAGGAAUCAAGAAGACAACGGCGACCAGCAAUGUAGACGUGUAUACUGGUUUCCGGCCAAUCAUUUCUGACAUGGGCGCAAAAACCAUCGGUCCUGGAAACCGCAAAUAUAAGCAUGCUGACAAAAGAGUGUGCCUUGCGCUCCCGAUUUGGAAAUGGGGCAAAUUUAAAUUCAAAAAAAAAAAAAAAAAAAAAAAAAAAAAAAAAAUUAAUGAAAACCCACCAAUACCAAACCCAAUAACGAAGACUGUGAUCCCGUUAUUACGCUACUGUCAAAGGCGACGACGAAGCACGUAACAGCCACCACCAUCGUGAUGUACCAUUUCCGCGCUUUACUCCAGUUCUUUGGGUUCUCUGGAUCGUCGAGUUUAAAUGUGACAAGCUCGUAGUCCUCGAUUUUCCCAGUUUCAUGGGAUCUGACUGGCUUUGUGAUCCGGCCUUCCGGGGUUUCUCGUGUAUAUUCCUCAAGCGUAGCGGUCUCUCUGAGAAUACGGGAUGGGAGAUCUGUGGGGUCAAUCGUGUUUGGAAGUCCAGCAGAAGAUAAACAAUACUUAGAAACAGCUGAAACGGACUGGGCACCCCUAGCUCUAUAUAUACCAGGCGAAGAAAAAAAAUUUUGGCCAGGGAGAAACGGCACUUCGGCCAUGUUGGUGACUUCAUUGUGGGAACAGGAGAGGGACGAGGGGUUCUUAACCUACCGAUUCAUGCUUAUCAUUGGAUAUUAUAUAAAGUAUCGUAGGGCCCGUGAAUUGCAGGGAUGUUUCUCUUUCGGCGCUCGGCGAGCGCUCGGAUAAGUGCUCGGGAUCCCAUUUUAUUUUAUACAGACAACAUUUCGUGGCGAAGGAAAGACUUAAGUGGAUAGCCACCGAGGCUUGAGAACUGGCAGGCACGGUGUAAAAAGAGGAACAAAAAAACACAUCCAAAGCGGAUAUCAGUUAUAGCAGCCUCAACAACUUUCUUUUUUAGCGACAAUGGUCUGCUGCCUGAAAUAACUAGACAGGAUUUCCGUGGCCCUUUGGAGAAUCGAAUAUCGAUCCGAAGGCAGAUUGUGUAUAUCAUUGUGCAUGCACAAUGGUUAACUAUAUGGACAUUCGGGUUGCCGAACGGGAUCCAGUUAAGCGUAGGGCGCUACCUGAACCGCGGUCGUCAUCUGGUGGGCUAUGAAAAAAAAUAAAUAUGGGUCUUCCCGGAUCAAGCGGCCCAAUAGUCUCAACACAUCAAGUGGAUAAGUAGACGCCGCUCUUGGGGACGGAAGUUCAAAAUUGAAUGUUUUUUCGGGUUCUAGUUAAACGUGAUUAACAAAAAAAUUGAAUGUGGGUAGAAAUGGAAAAUCAAAUUCUCUCAACACAGCAAAUGCUGAGCAUCAAGAGUUGAAUUUUUAAAAACGAUAUCUUCAUGUUGUAUCCAAGAUUGGAUUUUUUCACUUGGGCUUUUCGGCCGGAAAACUUGUUGGCAGG